rnacentral:rRNA from 1 species
UACGAAGGGUGCGAGCGUUAAUCGGAAUUACUGGGCGUAAAGAGCACGUAGGCGGUUUGAUAAGCGGAAUGUGAAAGCCCCGGGCUUAACCUGGGAACUGCAUUCCGAACUGUCAGGCUAGAGUAUGAUAGAGGUGAGCGGAAUUUCCUGUGUAGCGGUGAAAUGCGUAGAUAUAGGAAGGAACAUCAGUUGCGAAGGCGGCUCACUGGAUCAAUACUGACGCUGAGGUGCGAAAGCGGGGGUAGCGAACAGG